UACGUGAGGGUGCGAGCGUUGUCCGGAAUUACUGGGCGUAAAGAGCUCGUAGGUGGUUUGUCGCGUUGUUCGUGAAAACCGGGGGCUUAACCCUCGGCGUGCGGGCGAUACGGGGCAGACUUGAGUACUGCAGGGGAGACUGGAAUUCCUGGGUGUAGCGGUGGAAUGCGCAGAUAUCAGGAGGAACACCGGUGGCGAAGGCGGGUCUCUGGGCAGUAACUGACGCUGAGGAGCGAAAGCGUGGGGAGCGAACAGG
rnacentral:rRNA from 1 species